rnacentral:rRNA from 1 species
UACAGAGGUCUCAAGCGUUGUUCGGAUUCAUUGGGCGUAAAGGGUGCGUAGGCGGCGCGGUAAGUCGGGUGUGAAAUCUCGGAGCUUAACUCCGAAACUGCAUUCGAUACUGCCGUGCUUGAGGACUGGAGAGGAGACUGGAAUUUACGGUGUAGCGGUGAAAUGCGUAGAUAUCGUAAGGAAGACCAGUGGCGAAGGCGGGGUCUCUGGACAGUUCCUGACGCUGAGGACGAAGGCCAGGGGAGCAAACGGG